rnacentral:lncRNA from 1 species
AAAGAGGAUCUAAAAUAUUCUUUUUACUUUUCUAAAGACAAAUGAAAUUAAGAUCCUGCUCUGAUAAUAUAAUGCUGAUCAACAAGCAAGAAACUGUGCAUGAUGAGAGGUGCCUAAGUAGAAAUAAAUGUUGGCCAGACAUGGGACUAAGAAAGUGAACCUCAAAAAUGGGCAAAGGAAAAAAAAAUCAGGUUUGUCUUUUGAAUGAGCUUUCCAAGGGAAUGUUGCUCAAGGAACAUGGCAUAAAAAUGAACUCUGGUUUUCACAAUCUCCAUUCGAAUAAGUAAGAAAAUAUUCCUGAGUUAGCUGCACAGGAAGCUUUCUGAAGAGCUAGGAAUAAAAGAGAACAUGUAGAAGAGGUGGAAGGAGGGACACAUAGCAAGAAAUGAAAAUGAAAGAGCUGCAUAAACUUCGGAAGGCAGUGUCAGAAGGGUUUAAGGGCCAGGGUUACUGAGGCUUGUGGAACUGCUAAAGACAAGGAAGGGCUUGGCAAGCUGUGUUCAAAGACAGACUGUGAACAAAGAAGGGAUAGGACCACUGCUGGGGGAAAUGGUAUGAAAUGUUUACCAGAUUUAUCAGUUUAUUAACCUUUUUAUGCCUUAGGUCUAGCACAGUGCCUGUCACCAUCCAAGUAUAUCACACAUGUGGAGGGAAUGGAUGGAUGAGGUGGUGAGGUAGUGAGAGUGAUUUCAAAAAUAGAAAAGCAGUAGAAUCAGUAUGAUUUUUAUAGAGAAAUUUCAAUACCAAAAUAAAAAGUAAAAUUAAUACAGGAACUUGGUGGAGUUCCUGUUGUGGCUCAGCAGCUUAAAGACCCUAAGUUCUGUCUGUGAGGAUGCGGGUUUGAUCCUUGGUCUUGCUCAGUGGGUUAAGGAUCCGGCAAAGAAGGUCACAGAUGCACCUUGGAUCUGGCGUUGUGGCUGUGGCGUUGGCCAGCAGCUGUAGCUCUGAUUUGACUCCUGGCCUGGGAAAUUCCUUAUGCUGCAGGUACAGCCCUAGAAAGAAAGAAAAAAUAUAAACAUAAAAAAUAAAUAAAGAGACUUGGUUAUUUAAAGUUAUAUCUCUCUGAUCAAAGUGUAGAAGUUUCAGAGUUCCUGUCAUGGUGCAGCAGAAAUGAAUCUGACUGGGAACCAUAAGGUUGUGGGUCCAAUCCUUGGCCUUGCUCAGUGGGUUAAGGAUCCAGCAUUGCCGUGAGGUCUAGGUUGCAGACAUGGCUGUAAUCUGAUGUUGCUGUGGUAUAGGCUGGCAGCUGUGGCCCCGAUGGGACCCUCUAGCCUGGGAACCUCCAUAUGCCGCAAGUAUGGCCCUAAAAAGCAAAAAAAAAACCCCAAAGUAUUGAAGUUUCAAAGAUGCAAUCACAGUAGUAAUCUACAAUUUCAAAAGGGAAAAAAGAAGAAGGAUGGAUUUCAGAUAUUUCAGAACAUUGAUGUGACUCUUUCCACCAUAAUUCUGUAUAUAACAUCUUAUGAAGCAGAAAACUUAGAAUGAUUUAGAUUAAAAAAGUAAUUUUAGAUUUUGCUGAGAAAGAAAGAUGUGAUCAAAAGUAGCUGAAUUUAUUUUUUUUUAUAGGUUACCUAGUCUAUUUAUGAAGAAAGUGCUCUCAUCAUUGUGAUUGCAGUAGACACCCUGGAAAAUUUCUCUUUUAUACUUAGAGGAAAUAUAGAGAAGGGUGUGUCACAUGAAACCAAAAUGGAAUGAGACAUUCCCAACCUCUGCUAUAUGACUCUGUGUUGGGCCUUGUCUUGUUCAAUAUUUUGAUCAGUGAUUUGGAUUAAAAAUAAACAAGCAGAACGGGUACUCAGAAAAUUUAAGUUUGACACAAAGCUGAAGACAAAAAUAAUAUUUUACUGCCAGUCCAAGCAAAAUGGCAUAUGCUCAUUGUUUUGGUUCAAGUUGCUAUAACAAAGUGCCAUAGAUCAGGUGGUUUAUAAACAACAGAAAUUUAUUUCUCACAGUCCUCAAGGCUGGAAGUAUGAGAUGAAGGUGCCAGCAUAGUCGGGUUUUGGUGAGGACCCUCUUCCAGGUUUCAGACUGAUGCCAUCUUCUCACUGUGUCCUCACAUGGUGAAGAGGUUAGGAAGACCCUCCGGGUUAAAGCCCCUUUUAUAAUGGGCAUGAAUUCCUUCCUCACAACCUAAUCGCCUCUCCACAUCCUCAGCUUCUGUUAUAUCAGUUAUAUCUGUUGUAUCAUCACAGUGGAGGUUAUAGUUUCAACACAUGCCUUUGGUAGGGACACAAACAUAUAGUCCCUAAGACUCAUCUCUUCCUGCCUCUCACCACUAGGCAUGACUAUAUACCCUCGAAGCAACACAGGACCCAACCAGAGGAUAAUUGCAAAAGGUGGUAUGGCAUUAAAUAAUGUCACUCUAAAAAUGUCUACAACCCAAUACCCAGAAUAUAUAAACGUGUUGCCUUACUGUGAUAAAAGAGACUUUGCAGAUGUGAUUAAAUUAAGGAACUGGAGAUGGAACUAGGAAGGCUCAGUGUGAACACAUGGGUUCUGAAAGAACCAGGUAGGAGGGUCUGAGGUAGAAAGGGAAGACUAUGUCGUGAUGGAGGCAGAGAGCGUUUGAAGCUGCUAUGCUGCUGGCUUUGAAUAUGGAGAAGGGGAACCACAAGCCAAGGAAUGCAGGUAGCCACUAGUUAGUGGGAAAAGCAGGAAACAGAUUUUUCCAGAAGAUACCAGUCCAACCUACACCUAGACUUUAGCCAAAUAAGACACAUUGUGGACUUCUGACCUCCAGAACUACAGAAAAAUAAAUUUGUGCUAUUUUAAAUCAUCAAAUUAGUGGUAGUUUGUUAUGACAUCAAUAGGAAACUAACACACAUGUAGGAGGAGGAAGAAUUGAUUAGGGACUUCAGAACGGAAGGAAAAACCGUAUGAUAGGGUGUCUCACAAACUUCCCUUCACCAUCGAAGAGAAGAUGACUCAUGCAUAUUCUAAUUCUUACCUAGUAGCUCACCUGCCCAGUUAGGCUCAUUCCUCCCCUUGACUAAACAGAAGACUAGCUAAACUAAAAUAUAAUGACAACACUAAAUAUUGGUGAAACUGGGUCAUGGAGAAACCAGGUCAAUUGUACAAUAUUGUUGGGAAUGUAAAAUGGUGAUCCAUUCUAGAAAACAGUUUGACACUUUCCUAUGAUAUUAUACAUGCAACUCCUAUAUGAUGCAGCAAUUGAUCUCCUGGGCAUUUAUCACAGAGAAAUGAAAUCCAUGCUCAAACAGAAAUCUAUGUAUAAAUAUCCAUAACAGUUGCAUUCAGAAUAGCCCCAACUGGAAACAAUCCAGAUGUUUUUCAAUAGGUGACUGGUUAAAUUGUCAGUGAUAUACCUAUAGCAUGGAAUGUUACCCAGUAAUAAAAGUAAUAUGAACUUUUGAUAUAUGGAAAAAUUUGAAUGAAUUUUUAGAUAAUUAUGCUGCUACAAAAGCCAAUCUUGACAAGUAUUUUUAUCCUAUUUAUAUAAUCUUCUUAAAUAGGCAAAAUUUUAGAAAUUGGGAAUAGAUUAAUUGCUGUAAGGGGUUAGGGAUGGAUGUCACUAUGAAAUGAGAUUACAAGGAAUCUUUUUGGAAAUGGAGCUUUGUCUUAUGUUGACUAUAUCUUUAUAUCUUGCUUGUAGUAUAGUUUUGCAAGAUGUUAUCAUUAGGGGAAACUUGCUAAAGAGAAUAUAGACUAUCUCUGUACUAUUUUUUAUAAUUAAUGUGAAUCUACCUCAAAAUAAAGAGUGUAAUUAAAAACAAAAGACUUCAUGGAAAACAAACCAAAAAUAAAUUUCAAUGGUGAUAGGAUAUUCAGCAGUGCCCUUAAUAACAGAUUUCCUCAGCUUUUAUUUAUCCUAAAAAGGUUUUAUUUCUCCUUUGUUUUUAAUAGGUAUUUUCAUUGGAAAUGAAAUACUGGGGUGACUUUUUCAUUUUUUCCCAUUCUUUAAGAUGUCACUCUGUUGUUUCCUGCCUUGUAUAGUUUCUGAUGAAAAACAUGUUCCUUUGUAUGUAAAGUUACCUUUUUCUCCCUAACUUCCUUUAGGACUUUAUCAUUCUCUUUGAUUUUCGGCUUCUAGUUCUUUUAUUUUUUUCUCCUUAAAGUUUUCUGUGCCAUUCCAGCAUGAAAACAUGAGCUAAAAGCAUAUUCUGGAGAUAAGUCCUUCACUUAGUUGUAGGAAAGGCACUUCCAAAGGCAAAUUAGGAGUUUCCUUGUGGUACAGCAGGUUAAGGACCUGGCGUUGUCACUGCUCUGGUACAAGUUCAGUACCUGGCCUGGAAACUUCUGCAUGCCACAAGAGUGGCCAAAAAAAAAAAAAAAGGCAGAUUAAGAACCUCUGAAAAUCCUUUUCUCCAUAAAAGCAUCAACAACAGUGCAAAAUAUCCAAAAUCAACAUUUUUCUGAAUUCUUCAAAAUAAUCCAAAUUUCACAACAGUCAAGGAACAUUUCUUCAAGAAAAAUGGCUGAAUCUUGGUAUCAUCAGCAGAUAAUGCUAUGCAAACUUACUUUCUAGCCAUGCUCUUCUUCCUGGCUUAAUGGAAUCCUUGAAAAUAAUUAGCCUCACUUCCAUAAUAGCUGUGAAAACCAGAGUCCACCAGCCAUUGUAGGGGCAAAAUUGCUUUGAAGCUUCCCUAAAGCCACUAAAGAAUUGUCACUCGAUUUGUAUGACAACUGUCCCUAAAAGCUUAUUUUAAAAGAUUUGUCUUUAUUUGACCUGACUCAGGAUUCACUCGUGGGAAAAACCCUGUCCAUAGAGUGUUUAUUGAAAACAGUGUAAAAGUUUAGAAAAAUUUAUUAAACAUGGCAGAAGAAGAAGAGAAAGAGGAAGAGGGGGAAGAAGAUGGAGAAAGAGCAUCUUGACUGCUGCAAUGAAAACAGAACUUGUAGCUAUAUCGGGGAAAGAGGACAGACAUAUGUCAAAUAAUGAGAGGACUGAGAAGAGACCUUUGUAUUUAGUGAUAUGGAUGUUACUGUGUUUUUGAACAAGAGCAGUAUUAUGAGGUGGAAAGGACAAAAGCUUGACUGGAGAAAGGUUAAGAGAUUAUGGAAAAAGAAUUGCGAACAGAUACAAUCUUAGACUCAUGAUAUUUUGGUCUUCCCAGUACUUUUGUUAAUCACACUUCGUUUUGUAGUUAUGGAAUGGAUACCCCAGAAACUGACCACAAAACGUAUUGCUAGUUAGUGCCAAACAAGGAGCUAGCACCCCAUUUCCUCACAUGUUAAAUAUCCUUCAGUCACACAAGAUUGCCUCCUUC